CCAGCUCCAAUAGCGUAUAUUAAAAUUGUUGCAGUUAAAAAGCUCGUAGUUGGAUUUCUGGUGGGAGUGAUCGGUCCGCUUCGCAAGGAGUGUGUACCUGUAUUGUCUCUUGCCAUCCUUGAGGAAGUUGAUUCUGGCAUUAAGUUGUCGGGGUUGAAUUCCUCAUCUUUUACUGUGAAAAAAUUAGAGUGUUCAAAGCAGGCUUAGGCCGUUGAAUACAUUAGCAUGGAAUAAUGAGAUAGGGCCUUGGUGGUUUUCUAUUUUGUUGGUUUGCACGCCAAGGUAAUGAUUAAUAGGGAUAGUUGGGGGUAUUCGUAUUCAAUUGUCAGAGGUGAAAUUCUUGGAUUUAUGGAAGACGAACUACUGCGAAAGCAUUUACCAAGGAUGUUUUCA
rnacentral:rRNA from 1 species